rnacentral:sRNA from 15 species
GUCACUCGCUCCCCGGGCACAACGCUGCCUGUCGGGUGACCAGCCCAAGUCAUCGCGAUCAGAAGAUCAGGGAGGUGACCCCGAUGACUACGUUCCCCGUAGGCGAGCAGACCCACCAGGCUGUGCUUCCUCAGCAGCCUGCUCUGGA